rnacentral:rRNA from 1 species
AGGCCGACAGGCGUAGUCGAUGGACAACGGGUUGAUAUUCCCGUACCGGCGAAGAACCGCCCAAGCUAAUCCAGUGGUGCUAAGAGUCCUAACCCGGCUGAGUGGAUCCCUUCGGGGUGAUGCCGGCCGGUCUAACGCUCGACCCCAUGCUGGUGCGGUUAGCGUAUUAACAGGUGUGACGCAGGAAGGUAGCUGAGCCAGGCGAUGGUAUCCGUAAGGUGAACCUGGUGUAAGGAUGUAGGGCUGACGAUAGGCAAAUCCGUCGUCAAUGUGCCUGAGACCCGAUGCGUACCCCGAUUGGGGGAAAUCAGUGAUCCUAUGCUGCCGAGAAAAGCAUCGACGCGAGGUUCAAGCCGCCCGUACCCCAAACCGACUCAGGUGGUCAGGUAGAGAAUACCAAGGCG